rnacentral:rRNA from 1 species
UACGUAGGGACCGAGCGUUUGUCCGGAUUCAUUGGGCGUAAAGAGCUCGUAGGCGGCCACUCAAGUCGAAUGUGAAACCUCGAGGCUUAACCUCGAGCCUGCAUUCGAUACUGGGCGGCUAGAGUCUGGUAGGGGGGAUCUGGAAUUCCUGGUGUAGCGGUGGAAUGCGCAGAUAUCAGGAGGAACACCGGUGGCGAAAGGCGGGAUCCUGGGCCAGUACUGAC